AGGGGACUGAAGGACUCUGUUAGAGUGUGGUUGAUGCCUGCAGCAGAGCACAGACCCUGCAACUAACCGUCUUCCUCCUCUGCCUCAGAGCAAGAUUCAUUCAUAUUGUUGUGGCUGAGAGGCUCUCCCUCCCCGUCUCUUGUCUCCCUGCCUGCUGUGUGCCUUGAAUAUUGAUGGAGAUCUGACUCUCCCUGCCGAAGGAAGCCCAGAGCCAGCUCACACUAGGAGGACCUGCAAAUGCAUCAAGCGAGGUCAGAAGGCGUGCAAGUAUUUUCUACCCUGAGCAGGCUCGACACAUCAGGUGCAGCUCAUGCUGCAGUGAGACAAACAGACAGCACCGCUGCUGGCUCCUGAGUGCUCCCGGGAGAGCUGUUUCCACACCAGCCUGGAAAUUGCCUGCUCUUUGCUCAUUUAUUCAAGAAGGUCAGACCGAAUAAAAGCCAUACGCAUUUAAAAUGAGACUCAGGUGCCAGAUUUAGAGUCCUGCCCAGGGAGGAGGCAGCAGAAGAGGCACUCCAACCGUGGUGAGAUCUCAGAGAAAUUCAGCACACACAAGGAGCGGCUCUCUGGAGUAGCUAAGCCAGCACCUCCUGCCUUCCUUCAGGAGCGAGAAACCCUCACCGCGCAGGGCAGCGUGGAAAAUCCUUGGCUGGUCAUUCUUGCAAUCAACAGAGUACUCCACCUCCUAACUUCCAACCUUGGCUUAAAGAGAGUGCGAACUUCUCAUGGGGCACAUUAAAAUCUUUCCUCUCAUAUGCCUUUCAGGCUAUGUUUGUACGUAUAGAUGUAUGUACGUAGGUAUCUAGCUAUCUAAAUACCUAUGUAUGUGUGUUCCAUCACAAGGACAUUUCCGUUGCUUAGUUUUUGGCUGGUGAACGUGCGUAUAGGGAUUCAAGGGCGAAACUCAGAAGUGUAGUGGAGAUCUUGUCUGAGCAGCUGAAUCAAGCUCAGCAGGGCUAUGAUUUUGGGGACUGAAUAUCUCUGGGAGAUGUUUUCUCAAAUUCUGGAAUGAGGGUUUGCAUCCAAGUAGCAGGAGAGAGUAGGUGGGCCUGGUGCAAGGUUUUGGCUGAGACAGGUCUCUAAAGGGUAGAUGGCUUUCGAGAUUCAGGUGUUGAUAGUUCACAACUGCCUAGCAUGAAAGGCAGCUGUUCUGCUCACCAGCUUCAGUCAGAUUUAAUGCAGCCUAAUGCAAAAAUUUUUGUCUUCACUUUCCUGAUGCGCUGAAGAGCUGGGAGUGAUGCUACUCCCCCAGAAACCUUUCCCAGAGGGAAAGUAAAGCUAUGUCUGAAAUGAAAUAUCUCAGCUAAGUGGAAAUGGGAGGGCUGGAACCCAAAGAAAUAAUUCAGUAAAUUACAAAAAAAUACAAGUUUAAUUCUUUACUAUUGACUGAACUAUUUAUGGCCCUGGAAACCUCUUGAUGUGGUGGAAGUGUUUUCAGACUAUGUCACUGCGCAGAUAAAUUUGAGAUCUCAAAUGUUUAUUCUGAUUUAGGGAGAAAAAUAUAGAAAAUAAAGAAUAUUCCGAUUUACUCUGGCUUGCUGCAGGGGUGCUCACACACUUUCGUUUGAAAGCUAAAGCAUUGAUCAUGGUUGAUAUAAAAGGACACUGCUCUCAGCAACCCACCAGAUGGUAGCUCUUCUGUGUAAUGGUCUAAUGGGUUAAACCCUAGAUUUGACCACUAAAAACCUAGGUCUGUUCUCAACCACCUGUUGGGUCGUCUUAAGCGAAAUGUGUCUUCCCAUUUCCUUCUGGAAAACGGAAACUGUUGCUUUUGCGUGGUUUGAGCUGUGAACCACCAGGGUGAUUUGUUGUGAAUACAGCUGAAAUUCGCUCUUCAACCCAGGAAACAGGCAGCAUGGCACGAAGUAUUGCAGUGCAAAUUACACUUUCCUUUAUUUGGGCUUUAGAUUAUGGAACUAAAAUUAAAUUUAAACUCUUUGUGGAAAGGUAAUUUUUCCUAAUCACUCACACUGCUGCACAGAUCUCUACAACUUGAUUACAUUCUAAUUAGAUUAAUUGGAUGGAGAAUAAUUUCUUUCUCCAAGAAGAUCAACUACAAAAGACAAGGAACUCUAUAGACUCUGCAGAGGAAAAAAAAAUCAACAGAAAAACCAACCCUCAUUCAAAGCUUUAAAACCAAAGCGCAAAAUGCACAGUAAUUAAAUUGUUAAAGAAUUUAUGAGCAUAUCUGGUUGAGCUAGGAUUUUUUUCUCCCUUUCCCCUCUUUCAUCAUUUUCCCUCAUGCUCUCCCUCUUUUUCUCCUGACCGUAAAAUGAGAUGUGGAAUUCCAAUUCCUGCAUUGAUUUUUGAGAUAAAAAUUUAAGAAACUCGACUAACAAAAGGUUGCACUCCUGUGUUCUGCAUGCAAAAUGGAUUGCCUUUGUUAUAGGGGCAGAAAAUAUUGAACUGUAUAAUGCUGCGAGGUCUUUGGCCUGAAUACUAAUAGUCAUUACUUACCAGAAAUGAACAUAAGCCAACGAGGUUCAGUAUCUCCUCAUUGGCUUUGACAUCCUGCAGCUCCUUGACAAAGACAGUGGGUGAGGGGCUUGGGGCUCAGACAUGGGUCCAGGGGGGUCCGGCGUUUGAUUUCUCUGCUUGGCCCAACAUUACUGAGAUGAGCUGCCUGUGAACUGAUGCCGAGACAGCUUCUUCCCAGGAAGCGUCCGGUUUGUAGUGCGUGUAAUUAUUUCAAAGUGGACGGUAAUGUACUAUUAGAAGGUCGUAUUCUCGAUGUCCUCGCUGGACUUUUCAUUUGCUCUUUCCUCAGGCAGAGCUCACCUUUGUUUGGCAUGAGUGCAAGCUGAGGGAAAGCAGCAGGAGAAUUCACUGGUAUAAAUUCAGUGCGGAGGUUCAUCCUCACCUGGGAGGCACGGCCAAGCACAGGUCGGCCCCAGCUCUUCCCCUGCCGCACUUCUGUGAGGAUGAAACACUCAAGCUGCGAACGCGCGACCACUGGAUAGACCUGGGACUCUGCGAGGGCUACAGGGAGAUGCCAGCUGGAAAGACAUCCUUGAAGCUCCUGAUGUCUCUCAGCAUGAGGUUUAGAAGCGUCAGGGCCCGUUAACUUCGGGAAAGGACACAGAGGUGCCUCAAUCGCUCUCUGUUGUGUCUUAAAAAUCCAUCUGUAAUUAGAACAAAAAAGAAACUUUGCUGAUUGACCUUCAGUGUGCCCAAGCAGGUCAAUUAUAGGGAAGCAGACGGGACCGGAUACAUUCUAGUAAUUCUCAGGUCAGCGCUACUCCAUUCCAACUGGCCUACAAGGCUGCUGAGAAAAUGUACCUUCCCACUAUUCAAUGAACGAGCAAAUUGUGCCUAUCUGCAGCUGCAUUUAAGAUCAUCGCUGCUAAAUGAUACAGUAUGUAGCACUCUUCCUUUUAACUUGCAGCCAUUUGUUUUGCUGCGAGACGGGUGGCAGAUUUAUGCCUCGCCAGUUCAGCGGCUCUGCAAGGUGUUUGGCUGGUUUUGUGCUGAAUGCUAAGUGAGCUCGAGAGUUUGAAAUAUGAAAAGUAUUUGGAUAAGGCAGAUAGGCCACCUUGAAGACAUAAUCCACGGGAAUAAUGACAGGGCCUAGCAAAGCCAAAGCAAGCAUUUAAAUUAAUAGCAAGAGAUCUAUUAAAGGGAUUAGCCACAUGUCGUAACACUUACAAUGCUUUAUCUCACUGUGGUUAUGGCAGGGACUAUAUAUAUUUCCCCAAAACAAAUGGCUAGGGGAUGAUUUAUAGAUUAGAGGGGGUGGAGAGAAAUUUUACAGACUUGAAUUUCCAAAUCUCCAAGCUUUGGCUGAGGGAUAGUUGCCUGGCCUCUCUGGGGACAUCUCCAUUACUGUUUUAGCUGGAACCGAGAUGUGCUUGUGAAGGGAUUCCUCGUGCUGUCCUCAUCAGCUGUGUUUUGGUUCAUGCCAUGAAGCCAUCCCAGAUGGCGUGAAUGGGCUUUUGUCUGGAAGAACCUAGCUGUGCUCCAGGAGCAACCCAGCGUGCCCCAGCCAUGUUUGGAGCAUGGAACAGGGCUGAGGCUGCUCCAAAGGGAACCCCCAAACUCACACAACAUAGACAUUGGGGCCUCAGCAUUCUCAGUUCCCGUUACACUGCAAAACUUUUUAACGUAGACAUAGGCAAGGAGACAAGUUUUGCCUUCAUUUUCGGAGGGGAGCUAUAAUUUUGAGGACCCUCCAUUUCUAAGGAAAAACCUUUGGGAGAGGUCAGAGGGGCUUGCUGGUUUCUGAGAGUGUAGCACAUCUGGGCAGUGCAGAAUCCUGUCUCUAAGGUUUAUCUGUUUGGGCAGUUGAAACACCAUGACUUAUUUUUGAAAAAAUAAGGCCCUCACAUUUUUUUGGUACUAAAUUAGCAGCUGGAGUGUAUAUAUGUGCAUAUAUAUCCAUAUCUACGAAUAUUAAAAUGGCAGAUUUGAGCUGUCAGAGGUUUGAGCGUUGGAUUUUGCACCUUCACCUCUUUUGAUGUAGUUGUGUCCACGGCGUCUCUAAGAUUAAAAAAAAAAAGAAAGAAAGCAGAAGAUGAUGGAAAAACAGUCAACAAGACCACAACGCUGGGACGGAGCAUGCUCUUGGAUCACCAGGUCUGCAAUACUUAAGUCAAUUCCUCCCCAAACCUGCCUCAGUGUGAAAACAGCAAGGCUGUCCUGGACUGCAGUGAGAGCAAAAGUCAUCCUGUAAUUCUUAAAGUGUCAUUAGCGCAUAGCAAAUUUUGAGGUGUUCACAGACUCCUGAACCUCCUGAUUCAUGGUGCAGUUUGAGCAGAUCCUUUCGUCAUUCCGGAUGCUUGUUAGUUAGUUUGAGGGGAAUGGAAAGAAUGGGUGAAUCAUAUUCAGUUGUUUCUUUUACAAUGGCCCUAGAAGAGGCCUCAUAAAAUAUGAAUUACACUGAAUGUGCUUGCUUCUAAAUUCAGAACAUGUGUCCAAGUGAAUUUGUAGCUCAGGAAAUGAAGGACAAGCUACCUUGGUCAGGCAGAGUUGCAGUGAAAGAACUGCCACCUCAAUGGCCGUUGGUGCACGUCGGCUCCUCCAGCCUGCCCUGUUUUUUUUACUGUCAGCUCCCUAAAUAUAACCCCGACAAGGCACCUCAGUCUUGACCUAUGACUCUCCUGUCCAGUCCAGCCUCGCAGUCUCACCACGUCCUGUUUGGGCCCUGGUCCUUAGUAUCUGCAAUAUUGCUAUUAGAUGUGCACAAGGGAAUGGGCCGAUGCCUUGUCCCUGGCAGUGCCAAGGGGUGUUUGCUGGGAUUUGGUACCUCGACUCACUCUAUAAAACUAAACUGACGCUUAUGCUGCAUGAGGAAAGAUUUUCCUGCCCUGCAAAAAUGCUUGCAAGUUCAGCAGACACCCUCUGCCGACUUCGCUGGGAUGGAAAGAGGAAUUCUCUAACAGCCUUUGCAAUACAAAAGCCGGAGAGAACAAAUUGCUUUUGAUCUGUGAAAAUAAUUCCCUUGGCAAUUUGGGGAGGUUUUGUUUCCAUCCCUGCCGUGUUAACUUUAUGUUUGUAAUAAUUAAUUUCAUGAUAAUCAGCUCAACAUUGUGAAACGCAGAAUCGUUUCAAACCACAAAUUUCUUUUAUAUUGCAAAUGUCAAUGCUGAAACUCUAACAAAGGCGGAAAUGUCCUGGAGGCAGACAGAAAGGAGAGGGGGCUUGCAUAUAGCCUUUUUUUUGCACAAAAGUUUCCGUUAUGACAAAUAUAUAUUUUCUGUAAGUCCCAGCUUCCUUCCUGUACUGAAGACUUAAUUAGCCUCCAGGUCAAUGUUUUUCUCCUCCUCCUUUAAUUUCCUUGGUUUUUAAGGCACGAUAUAAACUCCCUGGAAUCUUUUCCAGGGCUGCAGCAAUGGUCACUAGCCGAGAUCAUUUCUCUUCAGUAAGUGAAUAGCGUACCAGGGAGGGAAAUGUGCUAUCAGAGCAAUAGGGAACAUUUGCAAUAAUAAGUUGUGUGCUGUCAUAAAUUACCUGUCACGGUGUGCGAGAGAAAGAUGGGAGCAGGGUAUUUAAUUAGACGAACAUCAAGAAGUUGCAGAACAGAAUCCCCCCUCCUUCACGGGAAAACUGUACAGUUCAGGGCUGCUGUUAGUAAUUUAUAAGCUGGUACUGUCCAAGUAGAUUUGAUCCACUGAUGCUAGGGGAACUAUGUGAACUUCUUCUAAUUCUUGUACAAAAUCUGAUCCAUUUGGUUUUCCGGAGUUUAUAUCGGGACAGAGAAUUGGCUUGGGACUCCCGAGUCCUUCCUUUCCCAGCUCUGUUCCUGACACCCUCGUGUUUUCUUCUUUCUGCAGCACCGUUUCCCCACUGCUGGAAGGAGGUGGGAUACAGCACCUGACGGCCAGAGUGGGUGAGUGGUGAGGAUUGGAGCUGGGUUUUGUUCUCCCUGAGCUUGAAGACCUCGGGGCCUCGCAGUGUUCGGUUUUGCUGCUUGCCUCCGCAGCGGGCUCUCUGCAACCAGCUCCCAGUGCUCUCCAGAACAAGCAGUUGUCAUUGCUCUGCUGUGAACAAUGCGGUGUGCUGAGACACGGAGACCAGCAGCAGGGCCAAGUCCCCCGCCGCCUUCGGGUGCACGGCACUCCGCUGCGUUCACGCGCUCAGGGCACGUUUGCACCUCCGCGGCAGAGUCGUCACGUGGGUGCGUUCACCUCUAGCCUUGCACAAACUGUUCAUGUGUGAUGAGAUAACGCAGCUGUGGGUCUCACGCACAGGGAUUUCUUUUUGGCUGGAGGGUCUCUUCUGCACCCUCCCCUGCUCUGGCUGCUCUCGGCUCACUGGCGCCUGUGAUGAUUAGCCUGGUGUUUAAUUGGUGAGAGUGCCUUGGUAGUUGCUAGCUUUCAGCCUCUGCUUCUCUCAGCUACAAUCACCAAAAACAAGGAGCAUUGCAAGUAAUUUUAUGGGUAAUGAAAAGGGUCAAACACAUUUGCUCUUUGAUGAGAGAAGCUGUAGUAAAUCCUAACUGGGAGCUAGAUGGAUCGGGGUUUCUGAGCUUAGACAGAGAGAGAAAAAAUUAGGCUAGAUGAGCUGAUAGGUUGGUCUAGGAGGAUAGAUAGAUGGAUAGAUUAAAUAAAGAUCUGCUUAACCAUCCAUCUAUCUAUCCUCAGUCUUCAUCUAGGAGGAUAGCUCUCUCCCUAUGAUUGGAAAUGAAUCAGGAUUUAAGAAGAAAGAUAGAUAGGUGGAGGAAUAGAUGGAUGGCUGGAUAGCUUUUUGCCAAUCCAUCUCCAUCCAUCCUUACACCUAAAUCUUUAUCUAAUCUAUUCGAUACAAGCAGAUAGGUAGCUGGAAAUCUAAGUACACAGAUAGAUAAAGAAAGGAGCUGGGGUAGUGGAGAGAGAGAGAGAGAGAGAGAGGUUAUAUGAAUAUUACCCUCCCAAAACGUGCAUGUGGAGAAUGAAAAGGCAAUAGGCCCUGGCGUUUCUAGAGCGAUCAGGUCUGUCCUGCCCUGCUCUGAGCUCAAUCUCUUCAAUGGUGCUUCCCCACGAGGCCACGGCCUCUGCCUUGGCUGUGCCAAGCGCUGCCGUUAGCACUGCUGCACCGCUCUGCUCACCCGGGCCCUUGCCUUCGUAAGUAAUACAUUUCAGAGGAGGAAGAGGAGGAGGAAAAAAAAAGUAAAACUAAAACUUUUUGCCUUGCGAGCUGCUAACUUCCCCUUUCCUCAGGCCUGAAUGCAGGAUCACUCAAUGGAAAGUUAUUGGGAAAAUCACCCAAUUGGCUUUUUCUGUACAAAUAUGGCUCUAUUUAAGAGCCUCUGAGCUUGCAACAUGGAUCAAACCCAACAGCUGGAGUCUCUGAAAUGAAGUCCUCCAAGGUGCUGACACAUGAGCCGUGCUCUGCCCCAUGUCCAUUCGAAGCUCCAGGAACAGAAGGGUAAUGUCAGCCCCAGUGGCCAGGGAGUCUCUGCAGGAGCACGUGGCACCCCAAAGGCGUGUUCAUCCCAUUGCCGUCUAUGAGAACAGCACCUCUUUGACCAGCUUUUGGAAAGGACAGGCCAGAACUUUGUCUCCAGGGAUACCCAUGGAUAUGUCACCCUGUGGAGGGUGCUGCCCCCGGGGCCGAUAUUUGGGGCGCGGCGGCUGGGAGGGCAGAUGCUGGCGUGCUGCAUUCGCCGGGCUGCUUUCCUCCCGGACGGUGCCAAAAAAGCUGCUCUCCUGCGGGUGGCUGAGCAGAGGAGAAAGUCCUUGCAAAUACCCUGAGCGAACCUUGCAGCAUCGUCUCGUACUUCAUUAGACAUCUGAGCCUCUGCACGGGGUAGCAGGGAGCAAGGAGGAAAACAGAGGAGACUUAGCAGCAAAAAAGUUUCAACCAGAACUCAGUGAGCUGUGAGCUGCAAAUCUGUGGGAAAGCAGGCCAGGAAACAGCUCCCAAUGAAGCUGAGAUUUGCAAGUGGACAGAGUCUGGCAGAGAUGACAACAAUCUGCAUCCCAGGAGCGCCAUGCCGACGAGUUCACCUUUUCUCUUCUGCUUUUAAACAGGAAGAGCCAAACCACCUUGAGGCCAGGCGAUUUGCCCAGGUAAAACCUGCUGGAGAGCAAGGAUUUGACCCCGAAGUGCCCAGUCUUGGGCUGCAGCAGAACAAAGCAGCUCAGGAAGUGCCCUAGAUUUUGGUUACGUCCUCCUAAAGUUCCCAAUCUGAUGGCAGCUUCAUCGCUCUUUGAAAGACCAACCUCGGUGCAACGAAUGAUGUGCAGCUUGCACUGAGCCACAGCUUCUCUGCAAUGCCCCGGAGACCGUCUUCUUGCUGCACCACUGCCAAUGAGCUGGAAGAGAAAAAUCUCCACUUCUUACCCUAAGGGUACCAGGCUCUGCUAAUAGCCGGAGUGAUUUUUCUGCGAGAAGAGAGCCACAGGCUGUGCAGAGAGCGCAGUCAGAGCUGCUUAGAGCAUUCCUGGGACUGGAAACAAAGAUUCAAUUCAUGCUAAGUCUGCUUUGCUAUGAGCUGAGCCCAAGGCUGCUUCUGAGACUUAACGGGGAUGUCCAGUGACCCAUGAAAGCAGCCCGCCCUUGAGCUGCAGGGAAAUCACAGCCCGGCAGCAAAGGAGCUGUCUGGGAGCUGCACAGAGCAGAUUGCAGGAAAAGGCAUCCUGGGGGUGUACAGACACCUGGCAUUUCCUCCUGGGAACCCAAAGGUGCUGUCGUGGGUACAGGACUCAAGGUUGCCGUGAGCAGAGGCAUAUGCCAGAGCCCCCGGGCACAUUUGCAUGGCUGUAUCCUUGUCACAGCCGUCUCACAUUGCCGUAACCCCCCUGGCGCUCUGCUCCGGCCGCGUGAUACAGCGCGAGCGGUAAGUGACAGUUCAGACAGCAGCAUUUCCCGACCAGCGAGUCAGGAGACGGGGCAUGGAAAGAACGGGGGAAAAGCGAACGGAUGUGUCCGAGAUCGCACUGUAUGUUAGGGCUGGAGCCAAAAGUCCUUUAGCUCUGCAAAUCACAUGCUUUCGGGCAGUGUUUAACAGCCCAGUGAUAAGAAUAGGUGAGCGCUGCUUGCAGAAAUCUGUGUUGCUCUCUCCAGAUGCAGAGAGGGUUGCAUUUUCAGAAGUGAAGUCACUUACAAUAACAGAGCUGCUCCAUCAGAUAACGGAGACAAACAGGAAAGGGAAGAGGUGCAUAUUUGAAUUCCUACUUGAAUAUAGUGCUUUAUUCAUGAGACAACGCUGCCUCCGCAGCAACGUCUGUUGCGAUAAAGCCAUGCAGCACAAGCCACUCCAUGAAAAGUUGCAAAACAGAGGCAUUUAAACGGAAGGGCUUAGAGAAACAACAGCACAGCUAAGCAAAUAGCUCCAUGCAUUUAGCAAAGGCCUCACCAGCCUCCACGACAAGCAGGCAGGACAGUACUAAACACAAAACAAAUACAGUUAAUCUGCAGUUCAGACCAUUUUUCAAAGCCUUUCCGGCAGACCUGCCCCGUGAGUAGCUUUUGUUUCCUUCCAUAUUUCUUUGCCAGCUGCCCAUGAAAGGCUCAUUAACU